rnacentral:rRNA from 11 species
AUCUGAGACUUAAAUAUCCUAAAAGCACCAAAUCCCAUCUAAUCUUAUAAGCUAAGCAGGGUCAGCCCUGUUUAGUUAUUGGAUGGGAAUUUGUGACCCAAUACCAGGUGACCUAGGCU